UCCACUUGUGCUGAUUAGUCCUCUACUCAAGGCUGUGCACAAACUGGGCUCUAUGACUUUAUUCAGUACACUUAACACUUAUUAGCUUGAGUUGGAGGAUGAAGUUGCCAGCACCAACUGAAGUCGAAUUAACCAAGCAAAUUGCAACCAGCUGUGUGGAACUCGAAAAAGGUAUGGUGAGAAGAUUGUUCCCCUAAAAGUGACCAGUCAACCAAGCAAGCAAAAAGAAGUUGUACAGUACCUGCUUCUCUGGGCUCUCCACCAGCUGCCAGCCGUUGCUCUUGAUCAGCUGCAGCUCAUCAAACUUGGCAGUGACGUCAUCGAUGGAGAGCUGCAGGAGGUCCCAGAACCCAGCCAGGUCCUGAGAGGUGGGUCUGGGCAUGGCACUGGGGUCCUGAAGAAACAGUAGUACGAAAUGUUGUGAGUUUUAUUUAAUUUUUUUAACUCAAAUGAAAUGAUAUCCUGUCUUUGUUAUGUGCAGGAGUGCAAUCGAAAAUAUAGAACCUUAAACUGUUACUACAUUUCAUGAACCAGCAUUAUACUGUACCACCUGU